GAUUGCCUACAGUUAGCUGGUUAGAGCACGGUGCUGAUAACACGAAGGUUGCAGGUUCGAUCCCUGCAUGGGACA